rnacentral:piRNA from 1 species
UGGCAAAAUAAUGGCAAGGUGGUAGCUAA